rnacentral:tRNA from 1 species
GGAGGGGCCACGGCUCAGUGGCUGAACAUCUUCUUGGCAGGCAGAAGGUCCCUGGUUCAUUCCCUGGCUUCUCCA